UAUGGGACACUGUGUGGUCUCUUCCGUGAACUCAUCUCCAUGUUUAUCUCGAAUGACACAAAUCUGUUUCCUGUUGUGCUACUGACCAGCUAAAACUAACAGCCACAGCAACACAGUGUCUUUUCUUCUUCAGGGCAUUACGCUGGACGCCCCAGAGGAGAUGCAGUAGUCAUGGAGUAGCGUAGAAUGUUCUCAGUUCAUUCAUUCAGUUCAUUCAUUCAUAGGCGAAAACAGACUAAGAGCCUCACCGGCUGGAGUGUGUAGCGAUCUUUAGGUGACACUGAGUGUGUAGCACGUGACACGUUUAAAUGCAGAAAGGUGCCGUAUGAUGCUGCGUUCAUGUCAUGUUGAAAUUACUGCCAUUAUGAGUACUGUGUUUGAGAAAGUCAUUUUCUUUUAAAAGCAUCUUGAAACACUUUAGUAUAUGCUUUUUUUUCAGAGAAUAUUGUUGGCAAAUUGUCUUGUUUAAAGCAUAAACCUGACUAAAUUUAGGUUGUAAUGUUUUCCCCAAGGAUGUUUCUAGAUGUGCUAGUACUGGGAAACGAGACAAAAACUGAACAAGACAAGAAGUGAAUCUGAAAUUAGAUGGUGUCUAAGUACUACAUUUGAUGAGGAAUAUGCACUUUUCUUGUUCUUGUAUCAAUGUGUGGAUGUGGACGUACUUCAUGUUCUUACAGUAUGUGACCUUAGCAGCUUUACAGUGUCAACAGGAAAAUAGUUUGUCAAUAAUGCAAGAGCACAAUGGCAAAAAUGUCAUCAUCCACUUCAGCUCUCUUCCAAUAGUGUCUGUGUAUCAGUCAAGUGUCCCAAACUAACCAAGCCAGAGGCAACAGCGGCAAGGAACCGAAACUCCAUCCGUGACAGAAUGGAGAAAAAACCCUGGGAGGAUCCAGGCUCAGUCGGGGGCCAGAUGAAACCAGCUUGGGGUGGCUUUAGUGUCGUUCAAAAUUACUCUGCCGUGUCCUCAUGGGAUAGUAAAGUGUCCACUAGCAGAAGGUCAUCUAGAGUCAGCAUCACUCCGCAGAGCGUGACAGAAUCCCUUAUCAUAGGAAAGACUGAUCUCCUCCUAUGA
ensembl:lncRNA